CGAUUAGAGUUUGAUCCUGGCUCAGAUUGAACGCUGGCGGCAUGCUUUACACAUGCAAGUCGAACGGUAACAGGUCUUCGGAUGCUGACGAGUGGCGAACGGGUGAGUAAUACAUCGGAACGUGCCUAGUAGUGGGGGAUAACUACUCGAAAGAGUAGCUAAUACCGCAUGAGAUCUACGGAUGAAAGCAGGGGACCUUCGGGCCUUGUGCUACUAGAGCGGCUGAUGGCAGAUUAGGUAGUUGGUGGGGUAAAGGCUUACCAAGCCUGCGAUCUGUAGCUGGUCUGAGAGGACGACCAGCCACACUGGGACUGAGACACGGCCCAGACUCCUACGGGAGGCAGCAGUGGGGAAUUUUGGACAAUGGGCGAAAGCCUGAUCCAGCAAUGCCGCGUGCAGGAUGAAGGCCCUCGGGUUGUAAACUGCUUUUGUACGGAACGAAAAGCCUGGGGCUAAUAUCCCCGGGUCAUGACGGUACCGUAAGAAUAAGCACCGGCUAACUACGUGCCAGCAGCCGCGGUAAUACGUA
rnacentral:rRNA from 1 species